UAGUAAGUGGUGGAAGAAAAAAUAAACAUGAUUCUUUUAGUAAUGGCGAAUGAACAAAGACAUGGUCAUUUUGAAAAUUGUGGUCUUAGAUCAUGAAUUGUAUUUUCAAAAUGCAUUGCUAACACAACUGCACAUGUUUGUUUAUUGGAAAGAACAUCACAAAGGGUGACAAUCCCAUGUGUCAUGUGUAUGUUUUGUGUACAGCGUGCAUUAUAUGAAUCACAUUCAUUGACAAUUGAAUGCAAAUAGAAUGGUAAAUUUCAUUUAAUCAUAAAUAUGUUGUUGACAACUUAUAGCAAACAAAUACCAUGAGGGAAAUGUGAAAAGGAUUUUGAAAAGAAAAUUAAAAGAGCUUGCAAUUGCUGAACUGAUAAGCAAACAAAACAUACGUGUGUAUGCAAGAUUGUUGUAAUGCUUAGCAUCUUAUGCAAGGCUAUUGCAAUGAUUUUUUGUAUAGUGAUGCUACCUUUUUUUAGAAUUUGGAAUGUCUUUUUUUGAGUGUGAAUGGAAUUUUGUUUGUUAGCAAAGGAAUGCACUUUUAGAUUCAUUGUUUGAUUUGAUUUAAAAAUGUUUGUGACACAUGUCUUUGUUUUAGUUUCAUGCUUCAACCAAGGACAUUGUGUUUGAUCCAUAUCAGCAAUACAUGUUUUGUUUGACCCGUCUUGAAACACGGACCAAGGAGUUUAAUUUAUGUGCAAGAUCAUGAAACUGACAUUUGUAUAUCAAUGAAAAUAUUUUGUUGGGAUUUGUGCACCAACAACUGAUAAGUUGUGUGACGCGACGUUGAGUUUGAGCAUGUUGAUUAAAACCCGAAAGAUGGUGAACUAUGCCUGAACAGAAUGAAGUCAGAGGAAACUCUGAUGGAAG
rnacentral:rRNA from 1 species